UACCCGCAGCACAAGUGGUGGUCGUUAUUAUUGGGCCUAAAGCGUCCGUAGCUGGCCUGUUAGGUGCCUGGGUAAAUCGAUGCGCUCAACGUAUCGAACUCCGGGUAGACCGGCAGGCUUGGGACCGGGAGAGAUGUGAGCUACUCGAGGGGUAGGGGUAAAAUCCUGUAAUCCUUCGGGGAGGACCAGUGGCGAAGGCGUCACAUUAGAACGGCUCCGACAGUGAGGGACUAAGCCCUGGGGCGCAAACCGG
rnacentral:rRNA from 1 species